GUCUUUUAGAAAGAAUUAAAAGUCUAAUCUGCCCAAUGAUUAAUAAUUUAAUGGCCGCGGUAAAUUGACCGUGCAAAGGUAGCAUAAUAAAUAGUCUUUUAAUUGAAGGCUUGAAUGAAUGAUUGAAUGAAAAAUUAACUUAAUUGAUUUUAGUAAUUGAAAUUAAUUUUUAAGUAAAAAAGCUUAAAUAUUUGAGUGGGACGAGAAGACCCUAUAGAAUUUUUAAAAUCUUUUAUAUUUUAUUUUAUUUAGUUAAUUAAUUUUUUUUAUUUAACUGGUUUUUUUGUUGGGGUGACAUUAAAAUAAAAUAAACUUUUAAUAAAAAUUUCAUGAAUACGUGUAAAUAUUGAUCCAAGUUUUUGAUUAUAAGAAUAAAUUACCUUAGGGAUAACAGCGUAAUAAAUUUGAAGAGUUCAAAUCGAUAAAUAUGAUUGCGACCUCGAUGUUGGAUUAAGAAUAGAAAUUGGAGCAAAAUCUAUUUACUUCUGGGUCUGUUCGACCCUUGAUAUUCUU
rnacentral:rRNA from 3 species